rnacentral:rRNA from 1 species
UAAAGAAAGUAAGAAAGGGCGUAUGGCGGAUGCCUAGGCUCACGGAGGCGAUGAAGGACGUGAUAAGCUGCGAUAAGCUUCGGGUAGGUGCAAAUAACCCUUGAUCCGGAGAUUUCCGAAUGGGACAACCUAGCCGUCUGAAGGACGGUUACUAGCACUUAAGUGUUAGAGCUAACGCAGGGAACUGAAACAUCUUAGUACCUGCAGGAAGAGAAAAUAAAUGAAUGAUUCCCCCAGUAGUGGCGAGCGAACGGGGAACAGCCCAAACCAGUGGCGUCGCAAGGCGUGGCUGGGGUUGUAGGACCGCGACAUUGUAUGCAAAUCGUGAACAGAACACUUUGGAAAAUGUGACCAUAGACGGUGAUAGUCCAGUAUGUGAAGCGAAAUGCGGCAUAGCGGUAUCCUGAGUAACGCGGGACACGAGGAAUCCUGCGCGAAUCUGCCGGGACCAUCCGGUAAGGCUAAAUACUCCCGUGAGACCGAUAGCGAACGAGUACUGUGAAGGAAAGGUGAAAAGAACCCCGAGCAGGGGAGUGAAAUAGUUCCUGAAACCAUACGCCUACAAGCGGUCGGAGCAUCGCAAGAUGUGACGGCGUGCCUUUUGCAUAAUGAUCCUACGAGUUACCGUCACUGGCGAGGUUGAGUGUCACGAGACACGUAGCCGCAGUGAAAGCGAGCCUGAACAGGGCGCACAGUCAGUGGGGGUAGACGCGAAACCAAGUGAUCUACACUUGGCCAGGAUGAAGUCCCGGUAACACGGGAUGGAGGUCCGCACCAAUAAGCGUUGAAAAGCUUCUGGAUGAGCCGAGUGUAGGAGUGAAAGGCCAAUCAAACUUGGAGAUAGCUCGUACUCCCCGAAAGGCAUUUAGGUGCCGCGUCGGAUGGUCACCGUGAGAGGGGUAUAGCGACCGAUAGGACAAGAGGGCUUCACCGCCUAUCGAGUCCUGACGAACUCCGAAUGCUCACGGUCUGCAGUCCGGCAGUAAGGGGGCGGGUGCUAAGGUCCGUCCCCGAGAGGAGAAGAAUCCAGACCGCCGUCUAAGGUCCCGGAGUUCUGCCUGAGUUAGUCUAACGAAGUCUGGUCCCUAUGACAGCUAGGAUGUUGGCUUGGAAGCAGCCAUUCAUUCAAAGAGUGCGUAACAGCUCACUAGUCGAGGGUCCGGGCAUGGAUAAUAAUCGGGUAUAAGGCAGACACCGAAGGCGCGGGAUAGCAUUUAAGAAAGUAUCGGUAGGGGAGCAUACUCACAGCGUCGAAUGGUGUACGUAAGUUAUCCUGGAGCGGUGAGUAAAGCAAAUGUAGGAAUAAGUAACGAUAAGGAGGGUUAGAUUCCCUCCCGCUGUAAGACCAAGGUUUCCCGGGCAAUGCCAAUCAGCCCGGGGUCAGUCGGGUCCUAAGUCUAAGCCGAACGGCGAUGGCGAUGGCAGAGACGGUUAAUAUUCCGUCACUGCCGCAUGGGGCGACGUGGAGACGGAGCAGUGAAACCACCGCGGGGCGACGGAAGUCCCCGUUGAAGAGUGUAGGCGUUGAGGAUGGCAGGCAAAUCCACCAUCCGAGCUGAACUUGACAGUACGGAGUCCUCCUCGGAGGAAUCUGAUAGUGUGGGUAAUCAUACUCCCGAGAAAAUCCGCUAAGCUUAACCCAUGCGGCACCCGUACCGCAAACGGACACACGUGGUCGGGUAGAACAUACUAAGGCGUUGAGAGAUUCAUGGUUAAGGAACUAGGCAAAUUGACCCUGUAACUUCGGGAUAAAGGGUCCUCGUGAAGAGCGAGGCGCAGAGAAUAGGUCCAGGCAACUGUUUAACAAAAACACAGGGCUGUGCAAACUCGAAAGAUGACGUAUACAGCCUGACACCUGCCCGGUGCCGGAAGGUUAAGAGGAGAUGUCACCAGCAAUGGGAAGCAUUGAAUUGAAGCCCCGGUAAACGGCGGCCGUAACUAUAACGGUCCUAAGGUAGCGAAAUUCCUUGUCGGGUAAGUUCCGACCUGCACGAAUGGUGUAAUGAUCCGGACGCUGUCUCAACCAUGAGCUCAGUGAAAUUGUAGUAUCGGUGAAGAUGCCGAUUACCCGCGAUGGGACGAAAAGACCCCGUGAACCUUUACUACAGCUUAGCAUUGACCUUGGUCAUCCGAUGUGUAGGAUAGGCCGGAGGCUUCGAAGCGGGAGCGCCAGCUUUCGUGGAGCCAUCCUUGAAAUACGGCCCUUUGGCUGUCUGAGGUCUAACGCGUGAUACGCGGACACUGCUUGGUGGGUAGUUUGACUGGGGUGGUCGCCUCCAAAAGCGUAACGGAGGCUUCCAAAGGUGCCCUCGGGUCGAUUGGUAACCGACCUCAAAGAGUGCAAUGGCAUAAGGGCGCUUGACUGGGAGGCAGACAUGCCGAGCAGGCAGGAAACUGGGGCAUAGUGAUCCGGCGGAUGUGUAUGGAAACUCCGUCGCUCAAAGGAUAAAAGGUACCGGGGAUAACAGGCUGAUCCCCCCCAAGAGCUCAUAUCGACGGGGUGGUUUGGCACCUCGAUGUCGGCUCGUCACAUCCUGGGGCUGGAGAAGGUCCCAAGGGUUGGGCUGUUCGCCCAUUAAAGUGGCACGCGAGCUGGGUUCAGAACGUCGUGAGACAGUUCGGUCUCUAUCUAUCGUGGGCGUGGGAGUUUUGAGUGGUGCCGUCACUAGUACGAGAGGACCGUGAUGGACAGACCUCCGGUUUACCAGUUGUGCCGCCAGGCGCACCGCUGGGUAUCUGAGUCUGGAUUGGAUAAGCGCUGAAAGCAUCUAAGUGCGAAGCCAGCCGCAAGAUGAGAACUCCAUUGAGGGUCGUCAGAGACGAUGACGUUGAUAGGAUGCAGGUGUAAAGACAGCGAUGUCAAAGCCGAGCAUUACUAAUUGCCCGAACACUUUCUUUAUU